rnacentral:rRNA from 1 species
GUCCACGCCGUAAACGAUGUCUACUAGCCGUUGGGACUCUUGAAGUCUUAGUGGCGCAGCUAACGCACUAAGUAGACCGCCUGGGGAGUACGGCCGCAAGGUUAAAACUCAAAUGAAUUGACGGGGGCCCGCACAAGCGGUGGAGCAUGUGGUUUAAUUCGACGCAACGCGAAGAACCUUACCUGGCCUUGACAUGCAGAGAACUUUCCAGAGAUGGAUUGGUGCCUUCGGGAACUCUGACAC